UUGAACGCUGACGGUAUCUUUACACAUGCAAGUGAACGGGCUUGGGGCUUGCUCCCGAGUUAGUGGCGAACGGGUGAGUAACAUAUCGGAACAUGUCCGGAAGUGGGGGAUAACGUACCGAAAGGUACGCUAAUACCGCAUAUGCCCUGAGGGGGAAAGGGGGGGAUCGCAAGACCUCUCGCUUUCGGAGUGGCCGAUAUCGGAUUAGCUAGAUGGUGAGGUAAAGGCUCACCAUGGCGACGAUCCGUAGCUGGUCUGAGAGGACGACCAGCCACACUGGAACUGAGACACGGUCCAGACUCCUACUGGAGGCAACAGUGGGGAAUUUUGGACAAUGGGCGAAAGCCUGAUCCAGCCAUACCGCGUGAGUGAAGAAGGCCUUCGGGUUGUAAAGCUCUUUCAGCCGGAAAGAAAUUGCCUCUAUUAAUACUAGAGGUAGAUGACGGUACCGGAAGAAGAAGCACCGGCUAACUACGUGCCAGCAGCCGCGGUAAUACGUAGGGUGGGAGCGUUAAUCGGAAUUACUGGGCGUAAAGCAUGGGCAGGCGGCUUUUUAAUCCAGAUGGGAAAUCACCGGCCUUAACCUGGGAACAGCAUUUGGAACUGGAAGGAUAGAGUGUAGCAGAGGGGGGUAGAAUUACCUUCGUGUAGCAGUGAAAUAAGUAGAGAUGUGGAGGAAGGACCGAUGGCGGAGGCAGCCCCCUGGGCGUAUCAAUGACGCUCAUGCACGAAAGAGGGGGGAGCAAACAGGAUUAGAUACCCCCGUGGUC
rnacentral:rRNA from 1 species